rnacentral:lncRNA from 1 species
CAUGGCUCUGGGCUACCCCUAUGACAGUGGGCCUCAACAAGGGCCACAAGGUGACCAAGAACGUGAGCAAGCCCAGGCACAGCCGCCACCACGGGCGCCUGACCAAGCACACCAAGUUUGCGUGGGACAUGAUUCAGAGGUGUGUGGGUUCGCCCCAUAGGAGCUGCGCGCCAUGGAGUCACUGAAGGUCUCCAAGGACAAACGGGCCCUCAAGUUUCAUCGAGAAAAGGGUGGGGACACAUCCACGCCAAGAGGAAGCAGGAGGAGCUGAGAAACGUUCUGGGCGCCAUGAGGAAAGUCGCUGCCAAGAAAGACU